rnacentral:rRNA from 1 species
UACAGAGGGUGCGAGCGUUAAUCGGAUUUACUGGGCGUAAAGCGUGCGUAGGCGGCCAAUUAAGUCAAAUGUGAAAUCCCCGAGCUUAACUUGGGAAUUGCAUUCGAUACUGGUUGGCUAGAGUAUGGGAGAGGAUGGUAGAAUUCCAGGUGUAGCGGUGAAAUGCGUAGAGAUCUGGAGGAAUACCGGAUGGCGGAAGGCAGCCAUCUGGCCUAAUACUGACGCUGAGGUACGAAAGCAUGGGGAGCAAACAGGAUUAGAUACCCUGGUAGUCCAUGCCGUAAACGAUGUCUACUAGCCGUUGGGGCCCUUGAGGCUUUAGUGGCGCAGCUAACGCGAUAAGUAGACCGCCUGGGGAGUACGGUCGCAAGACUAAAACUCAAAUGAAUUGACGGGGGCCCGCACAAGCGGUGGAGCAUGUGGUUUAAUUCGAUGCAGCGCGAAGAACCUUACCUGGCCUUGACAUACAGAGAACGUUGCCAGAGAUGGAUUGGUGCCUUCGGGAACUCUGAUACAGGUGCUGCAUGGCUGUCGUCAGCUCGUGUCGUGAGAUGUUGGGUUAAGUCCCCGCAACGAGCGCAACCCUUUUUCCCUUAUUUGCCAGCACUUCGGGGUGAGAACUUUAAGGAUACUGCCAGUGACAAACUGGAAGGAAGGGCGGGGAACGACGUCAAGUCAUCAUGGGCCUCUUACGGGCCAGGGCUACACACGUGCUACAAUGGUCGGUACAAAGGGUUGCUACACAGCGAUGUGAUGCUAAUCUCAAAAAAGGCGAUCGUAGUCCGGAUUGGAGUUCUGCAACUCGACUCGAUGAAAGUCGAAUCGCUAAGUAAUCGCGGAAUCAGAACUGCGGCGAUGAUACGGUUGCCGGGGCGUGUAACGCGCCGACGUCAUCUUCUA